rnacentral:rRNA from 1 species
UGGGGAAUAUUGGACAAUGGGCGCAAGCCUGAUCCAGCCAUGCCGCGUGAGUGACGAAGGCCUUAGGGUUGUAAAGCUCUUUUGGCGGGGAAGAUAAUGACGGUACCCGCAGAAUAAGCUCCGGCUAACUUCGUGCCAGCAGCCGCGGUAAUACGAAGGGAGCUAGCGUUGUUCGGAAUCACUGGGCGUAAAGCGCACGUAGGUGGGCAGUUAAGUCAGGGGUGAAAGCCCGAGGCUCAACCUCGGAAUUGCCUCUGAUACUGGCUGUCUAGAGUUCGAGAGAGGUGAGUGGAAUUCCUAGUGUAGAGGUGAAAUUCGUAGAUAUUCGCAGGAACACCAGUGGCGAAGGCGACUUGCUGGACUUAUGGUGACGCUGAGACGCGAAAGCGUGGGGAGCAAACAGGAUUAGAUACCCUUGUAGUCCCUGAGCGGGCUGGCAAGGCGCAU